rnacentral:rRNA from 1 species
AUUCUGAUGGAACAAAUUUCAUAUGAAACAGGGUUCCCAACGUGGAGUUACCUUUGAUUUGGUAACACAAGGUCAAAAACACAAUAACUGUUUUGCAGAAUUUAUAGGGUCGGAUUCAACAGAUAAUAGGGUAGGCAAUUGAGUUCCAAAAUUUUCAAACUAUAUGUCAAAAGAAAGAAUUUCAAGUCUAGUUUCAAAUAAAAUCAGUUUGGUACAAUUCAGAAUUUUCAACAGGGAGUUAUAGGCAUUUUAGUAUCGACAGGUCAGAAAUCUUGAACCCUGUUUUACAGCGUCUAUAGGCUCAAUUGAAACAGAUGUUUGGGUAAGUAUUCGGUGUCCAAAAUCUACAAAAUCAGUGUCAAAAGGAAGAUAUAAGAGUCUACUUUCAAAAAAAAUAAUUCCUGCCCGAAUUCACAUUUUGUACUAAAACUUAUAGCUGAAACAGUGUAUAGGGGUCAGUUUACCGAAAUGAAAACUUCAAAAUCCAGGGGUCAGUUUACCGAAAUGAAACAGUGUAUAGGCUCGAAGACGAUCAGAUACCGUCCUAGUCUCAACCAUAAACGAUGCCAACCAGGGAUCAGUGGAUGUUGCUCUUAGGACUCCGCCAGCACCUUAUGAGAAAUCAAAGUCUUUGGGUUCCGGGGGGAGUAUGGUCGCAAGGCUGAAUCUUAAAGGAAUUGACGGAAGGGCACCACCAGGAGUGGAGCCUGCGGCUUAAUUUGACUCAACACGGGGAAACUUACCAGGUCUAGAUAUAGCAAGGAUUGACAGACUGAGAGCUCUUUCUUGAUUCUAUGGGUGGUGGUGCAUGGCCGUUCUUAGUUGGUGGAGCGAUUUGUCUGGUUAAUUCCGAUAACUAACGAGACCUCACCGCUAACUAGCUACGCCGGAGGCAUCCCUCCAUGCCAGCUUCUUAGAGGGACUAUGGCCGUUUUAGGCCACGGAAGUUUGAGGCAAUAACAGGUCUGUGAUGCCCUUAGAUGUUCUGGGCGCGCGCGCCGCUACACUAAUGUAUUCAACGAAGUCUAUAGCCUUGGCCGAUUGCGCCCCGGUAAUCUUUGAAAAUUUCAUCGUGAUGGGGAUAGAUCAUUGCAAUUGUUGGUCUUCAACGAGGAAUUUCCUAAGUAAGCGAGUCAUCAGCUCGCGUUGACUAUGUCCCCGCUUUGUACACACCGCCCAUCGCUCCUACCGAUUGAAUGGUCCGGGUGAAGUGUUCGGAUCGAGGCAACGGGCGGUUCGCCGCCCGGCGACGUCGCGAGAAGUCCAUUGAACCUUAUCAUUUAGAGGAAGGAGAAGUCAGAAUAAGGUUUCCGUAGGUGAACCUGCGGAAG